rnacentral:rRNA from 1 species
UACGUAGGGUGCGAGCGUUGUCCGGAAUUAUUGGGCGUAAAGGGCUCGUAGGCGGUCUGUCACGUCGGGAGUGAAAACACGGGGCUUAACCCCGUGCCUGCUUCCGAUACGGGCAGACUGGAGUUCGGCAGGGGAGACUGGAAUUCCUGGUGUAGCGGUGAAAUGCGCAGAUAUCAGGAGGAACACCGGUGGCGAAGGCGGGUCUCUGGGCCGAUACUGACGCUGAGGAGCGAAAGCGUGGGGAGCGAACAGG